UCCCUUAGUAACUGCGAGUGAAGAGGGAAAAGCUCAAAUUUAAAAUCUGGCAGCAUUUUGUUGUCCGAGUUGUAACCUAGAGAAGUGUAACCUGUGCUGGACCGUGUAUAAGUUUCCUGGAAUGGAGCAUCACAGAGGGUGAGAAUCCCGUCUUUGACAUGGACUACCAGUGCAUUGUGGUUGUGCUCUCAACGAGUCGAGUUGUUUGGGAAUGCAGCUCUAAAUGGGUGGUAAAUUCCAUCUAAAGCUAAAUAUUGGCGAGAGACCGAUAGCGAACAAGUACCGUGAGGGAAAGAUGAAAAGAACUUUGGAAAGAGAGUUAAACAGUAUGUGAAAUUGUUGAAAGGGAAACGUUUGAAGUCAGUCGCGUUAGCUGGGGAUCAGCCUGACAUUGUUGGGUGCACUUCCUGGUUGACGGGCCAACAUCAGUUUUGACUGCCAGAAAAAGGCCAAGGGAAUGUGGCACCUUUGGGUGUGUUAUAGCCUUUGGUCAUAUAUGGUGGUUGGGACUGAGGAAUGCAGUGUGCCGAAAGGCCGGGUUUCGACCACGUUCACACUGAGGAUGUUGGCAUAAUGGCUUUAAGCGACCCGUCUUGAAACACGGACCAAGGAGUCUAACAUGCAUGCGAGUGUUUGGGUGGAAAACCCUUACGCGUAAUGAAAGUGAAAGUUGAGAUCCCUGUCAUGGGGAGCAUCGACGCCCGGACCAGAACUUUUGGGACGGAUCUGCGGUAGAGCACGUAUGUUGGGACCCGAAAGAUGGUGAACUAUGCCUGAAUAGGGUGAAGCCAGAGGAAACUCUGGUGGAGGCUCGUAGCGAUUCUGACGUGCAAAUCGAUCGUCAAAUUUGGGUAUAGGGGCGAAAGACUAAUCGAACCAUCUAGUA
rnacentral:rRNA from 1 species